GUACGGAAGGCAGCAGUAGGGAAUAUUGCAUAAUGGGCGCAAGCCUGAUGCAGCAACGCCGCGUGCGCGAUGAAGGCCUUCGGGUCGUAAAGCGCUUUUCAGAGGGAUGAGGAAGGACAGUACCUCUGGAAUAAGUCUCGGCUAACUACGUGCCAGCAGCCGCGGUAAAACGUAGGAGGCAAGCGUUAUCCGGAUUUACUGGGCGUAAAGCGCGUGCAGGCGGUUUGGCAAGUUGGAUGUGAAAGCUCCCGGCUCAACUGGGAGAGGUCGUUCAAAACUGCCAGACUUGAGGAUGGUAGAGGGAGGUGGAAUUCCGGGUGUAGUGGUGAAAUGCGUAGAUAUCCGGAGGAACACCAGUGGCGAAAGCGGCCUCCUGGACCAUUUCUGACGCUCAGACGCGAAAGCUAGGGGAGCAAACGGGAUUAGAUACCCCGGU
rnacentral:rRNA from 1 species